CCCUCGCGGGUGCACCGCC
rnacentral:snRNA from 1 species